GAUGAACGCUGGCGGCGUGCUUAACACAUGCAAGUCGAACGGAAAGGCUCCUGCUUGCAGGGGUACUCGAGUGGCGAACGGGUGAGUAACACGUGGGUGAUCUGCCCUGCACUUCGGGAUAAGCCUGGGAAACUGGGUCUAAUACCGGAUAGGACGAUGGUUUGGAUGCCAUUGUGGAAAGUUUUUCGGUGUGGGAUGAGCUCGCGGCCUAUCAGCUUGUUGGUGGGGUAGUGGCCUACCAAGGCGUCGACGGGUAGCCGGCCUGAGAGGGUGUACGGCCACAUUGGGACUGAGAUACGGCCCAGACUCCUACGGGAGGCAGCAGUGGGGAAUAUUGCACAAUGGGCGCAAGCCUGAUGCAGCGACGCCGCGUGGGGGAUGACGGCCUUCGGGUUGUAAACUCCUUUCGCUAGGGACGAAGCGUAAGUGACGGUACCUGGAGAAGAAGCACCGGCUAACUACGUG
rnacentral:rRNA from 1 species